rnacentral:rRNA from 1 species
UACGUAGGUGGCGAGCGUUGUCCGGAAUUACUGGGUGUAAAGGGCGUGUAGGCGGGACUGUAAGUCAGAUGUGAAAUUCCAAGGCUUAACCUUGGCGCUGCAUCUGAAACUAUAGUUCUUGAGUGCUGGAGAGGAAAGCGGAAUUCCUAGUGUAGCGGUGAAAUGCGUAGAUAUUAGGAGGAACACCAGAGGCGAAGGCGGCUUUCUGGACAGUAACUGACGCUGAGGCGCGAAAGCGUGGGGAGCAAACAGG